GUGGGGAAUAUUGGACAAUGGGCGAAAGCCUGAUCCAGCAAUGCCGCGUGAGUGAUGAAGGCCUUAGGGUUGUAAAGCUCUUUUACCCGGGAUGAUAAUGACAGUACCGGGAGAAUAAGCCCCGGCUAACUCCGUGCCAGCAGCCGCGGUAAUACGGAGGGGGCUAGCGUUGUUCGGAAUUACUGGGCGUAAAGCGCACGUAGGCGGCUAUUUAAGUCAGAGGUGAAAGCCUGGAGCUCAACUCCAGAAUUGCCUUUGAGACUGGAUAGCUUGAACGUCGGAGAGGUGAGUGGAAUUCCGAGUGUAGAGGUGAAAUUCGUAGAUAUUCGGAAGAACACCAGUGGCGAAGGCGGCUCACUGGACGACUGUUGACGCUGAGGUGCGAAAGCGUGGGGAGCAAACAGGAUUAGAAACCCUAGUAGUCC
rnacentral:rRNA from 1 species